rnacentral:tRNA from 1 species
GGAGCGGUAUGGCUCAGUGGGAAAGCACAUGCUUUCCAUGCAUGAGGUCAGAGGUUCAGUUAAAAGAUCCAGCUGGCAUCUCCA